rnacentral:lncRNA from 1 species
CCUUCAACACUGCAGCAGCGCUGGGGCAGGAGGACGAAACCCUCCUGCCCAAACCCCCUGCACACCCCCCAGCCCCUCAGCCCCGCUUUUUGGUCCCCCCACGCUCCCCGUGGAGCUUCGUGGGGGCUCCCCACACCCCGGCAGCCUCCCCAAUUUCGGGGCAGCCCCAACGCCGUGGGCGUGGUGGCGGGGCCGCGACCCCCUCAACACCGGGGGGCUCGGGGAGGGGAAGGGAAAGGAAAGGAAGAAGGGAAGGGAGCGGGCACGGCGGGGCCGCCGCCACCACCACCACAAAGCCGCCCCCCGCCGGGCAGCGGGGCCCCGGGGCCGUCCCCGCCUCCUCCUCCUCCACCUCCUCCUCCUCCUCGGACACAAAAUGGAGCCGGGAGGGUGGAGGGGGGGGCGCCUCCCGCGGAUAGAGAGAGGGCAGCGGGGCGGGCGGCCGCGCUGAGCCCCCCUCCUCCCUUCUUCUUCUUCUUCCCCACCACCGCCUCCUCCUCCUCCUGCUGCUGCUGCUGCUCCCCGCCCGCCUCGCUUCGCUUCGCCUCCCGGCUCGGCUCCCCCCCAGCUCCUCCGUGCACAAAGCGGCCGCGGCUCCCCGGGGCUGAGCUCGCCCCCCACUUCCUGGUCCCCGCUGGCAGCGGCAGCAGCGGCGGCGGCAGCGCCGGGGCCCGGGGAGGGAGACGGACAUUUCAUUCGAGCCUGCAGUGGAACCGGUUACCAAUCAUUGGCCGGAGCCAGGCACAAACCUCCAGUGCGGCCCUGGUUGGCUCCCUCCGCAAAUCGGCUGUUUGGUUGGACGGAAAAUGGCUGCGAAGGAACCAGUCCCAGCGCGGAGCCCCGCUUCCCGCAGCCGGCCUGCCCUCCCUCCGCGCCGCCUCCCCGCCACGCGCGCCGGCUCUUCCCCUCAGCGCGCUGCCUCCCGCCGCCAAACGGCUUCCUUUCUUUUUUUUUUUUUUUUUUUUGAAGUCAGAGGUGCUGCGAGGCCGCGUCCUGCCCCUUCCCUCUGUUUCCUCUACACGCACACCAUCCCGCUGCAGACCUGAAAACCUUCCCCCCCUACCCCCUCCAUGA